GAUGAACGCUGGCGGCGUGCCUAAUACAUGCAAGUCGAGCGGCAACACAAGGAGCUUGUGCCCCUACGGUUAGCGGCGGACGGGUGAGUAACGCGUGGAUAACAUUCCUCUAAGUCUGGGAGAACAUCGGGAAACAACUGCUACUACCGCAUAAUACAAUCAACCGCAUGAUUCAAUAGUGAAAGACGCCUUUGCCGACUCAAAUAGCUGAUGUCGGAUUAGCUAGUUGGCUGGGUAAGGUCACACCAAGGCAACGAUCCGUAGCUGGGCUGAGAGGAUGAUCGGCCACACUGGAACUGAGACACGGUCCAGACUCCUACGGGAGGCAGCAGUGGGGAAUAUUGGACAAUGGGCGAAAGCCUGACGGAGCAAUACCGCGUGGGUGAAGAAGGUCUUCGGGUUGUAAAGCCCUUUUGUUGGGAAAGAACAACAGCAGAUUAAUACCCGCAUGUUCUGACGGUACCUAAACAGUAAGCAACGGCUAACUACGUG
rnacentral:rRNA from 1 species